CAUGCAGGCGGUUACAUAAGUCAGAUGUGAAAUCCCCGCGCUUAACGUGGGCAUUGCAUUUGAAACUAUGUAGCUAGAGUAUGUCAGAGGGGGGUAGAAUUCCACGUGUAGCAGUGAAAUGCGUAGAGAUGUGGAGGAAUACCGAUGGCGAAGGCAGCCCCCUGGGCCAUUACUGACGCUGAGGCACGAAAGCGUGGGGAGCAAAUAGGAUUAGAUACCCGCGUA
rnacentral:rRNA from 1 species